GAACGGUAGCACAGAGAGCUUGCUCUCGGGUGACGAGUGGCGGACGGGUGAGUAAUGUCUGGGAAACUGCCCGAUGGAGGGGGAUAACUACUGGAAACGGUAGCUAAUACCGCAUAACGUCUUCGGACCAAAGUGGGGGACCUUCGGGCCUCACACCAUCGGAUGUGCCCAGAUGGGAUUAGCUAGUAGGUGGGGUAAUGGCUCACCUAGGCGACGAUCCCUAGCUGGUCUGAGAGGAUGACCAGCCACACUGGAACUGAGACACGGUCCAGACUCCUACGGGAGGCAGCAGUGGGGAAUAUUGCACAAUGGGCGCAAGCCUGAUGCAGCCAUGCCGCGUGUAUGAAGAAGGCCUUCGGGUUGUAAAGUACUUUCAGCGGGGAGGAAGGCGAUGAGGUUAAUAGCUUCAUCGAUUGACGUUACCCGCAGAAGAAGCACCGGCUAACUCCGUG
rnacentral:rRNA from 1 species